rnacentral:tRNA from 1 species
GUUGUGGCUCAGUGGUAGAGUGUCUGCCUAUCACACAUGAGGCACUAGGUUCGAUCCUCAGAAACA